rnacentral:rRNA from 1 species
CAUACCUGUUUUGUUGCUUCGGCGGUGCCCUCGCUCUCGCGGCGAGGCCCGCCAGAGGACCCAAACAAACUCUUUGACUUUGAUCUAGGAUUAUACUUCUGAGUGAUACAAAAAAUAAAAUCAAAACUUUCAACAACGGAUCUCUUGGUUCUGGCAUCGAUGAAGAACGCAGCGAAAUGCGAUAAGUAAUGUGAAUUGCAGAAUUCAGUGAAUCAUCGAAUCUUUGAACGCACAUUGCGCCCGCCAGUAUUCUGGCGGGCAUGCCUGUUCGAGCGUCAUUUCAACCCUCAAGCUCCGGCUUGGUGUUGGGGAUCGGCAGCCCGGCUUCGCGCCGAUGCCGUCCCCCAAAAGCAGUGGCGGUCACGCUGCAGCCUCCUAUGCGUAGUAGCACACCUCGCACUGGAGAGCAGCGCGGCCACGCCGUAAAACCCCCUACUUUUUGUGG